AACAAUGUCCAAGGCGGAGUGGUUAACGCGCUGCCCUGCUAUACUCGCCAGGCAGUUCCUUCGGGAGCGUGUGUUCGAAUCACACAGGUGUCG